CCUGACUCUCGCGGAAGAAGCGUUCAUCCGCUGCUGUGUCGUCACUUCCACGGACACACUGUCGCUGACGAGUCUCCGACCUCCACCUCCGACCUCCGACCUCUGCCUCCUUUCAGUUACACAGCCAGGAGAACCUCCGUCUCCUCCCAGGUAACUUUCGAAAAUGACAAACAAAAGAAUGCGAAAGUUAAUCCAAAAUAGACAAAGACGAUCUGGGAGAGAAGAAUCUAAGUAAUAGAGGAGUUGAUGAUGAAAAUGAAUCACAAUACACAACAUCUCAUUCACCAUUGGAGAUACAAAAUGAGGAGGUUAAUGAGCAAGUUGAAAAUGAGGUCAUAUUUUCAUCCCAAAGUUAGCCAAGAAAACGUGACAAGAC